CCUACGGGGGGCAGCAGUGGGGAAUAUUGGACAAUGGGGGCAACCCUGAUCCAGCCAUGCCGCGUGUGUGAAGAAGGCCUUCGGGUUGUAAAGCACUUUAAGUGGGGAGGCGCUACCCACAGAAUAAGCACCGGCUAACUCUGUGCCAGCAGCCGCGGUAAUACAGAGGGUGCAAGCGUUAAUCGGAAUUACUGGGCGUAAAGCGCGCGUAGGCGGCUGAUUAAGUCGGGUGUGAAAGCCCCGGGCUCAACCUGGGAACUGCAUUCGAUACUGAUCAGCUAGAGUAUGAGAGAGGGAGGUAGAAUUCCACGUGUAGCGGUGAAAUGCGUAGAUAUGUGGAGGAAUACCGGUGGCGAAGGCGGCCUCCUGGUUAAACUGACGCUGAGGUGCGAAAGCGUGGGGAGCAAACAGGAUUAGAUACCCUAGUAGUC
rnacentral:rRNA from 1 species